rnacentral:tmRNA from 1 species
GGGGGUGACACGGUUUCGACUGUGAGGGUCGAGGCGCCGGAAGCGAGCCGAGGAACCCCGGAGUCCUCGUUAAAUCGCCGGGAAACGCAUACGUGCCGACGACAAUCUGGCACUGGCUGCCUAAGUAGCAGCCUGUCCGCCCGGUGGGUGCCUGCCUCGCCGGAACGGGCAACGCAAUGCAGGAGGCAGCCGUGGGGGCGCCGGAGACCCACGGUCGAGAUCACCUCCGGAUAGGGUCGCGGACAGACGUGCCGACAGCGGUUCACGACCCGAAAGCUCGCUGUUGGCUGCGCUCGGAGAUGCCGACGCUGAAACCUCACGGGACGGGGGUUCGACUCCCCCCACCUCCACCG